CCCUGAAGCGUUGUGCCCUUUUUUUUUCUCUCUGUCUCUUUCUCUAUCGCUCUGCAUGUGCCGUCCUUUGCCUUAAAGAGCCUUAAACUGAUGGGACUCGCAGGACAAUAGACUGGAGACUCCAGCGGCCACUAGCACACAUACACGACGUGUGUGUGUGUGUGUGUGUGUGUGUGUGUGUGUGUGUGUGUGUGUGUGUGUGUGUGUGUGUGNNNNNNNNNNNNNNNNNNNNNNNNNNGUGUGUGUGCUGUGAAAGUCGCUUUGGCUCUGGUAUUGGCACUUGCUCAGAUGGGAACUGACACAUGACUUUAGUGUCAGCUGUAAACACCGAUCUAGACUUGGCAGUUCUUUGUUUUGUUGUUGUCAUUUGUUUUUAUGAAGAGAUUUCAUUUUUUAAAUUUUCACUCUGUAAAUUCUUAUAUCUUCCGUUCACCUGAUGUAUAUCAAACACACCGUUCCGUUGUUUCCAUAUACACCGUCAGUCACUGGGAAAUGAAUUGCAUGGAGCGGGUUCCACAUUAUCGAAACGUUACCAAAGUCUCACUCACUUUGACACCAAAACAGUGCUUUUAGGUGUCUGUAGCAUGGGAUAUAAACUUGCGUCUCUGUGUGUAUGGCUGUAUUACGUUAUUAUCUAUGUGUACUGUUGUAAGGUAAGCUUCCAGACAGGAGAAUCUCAUUACAGCUGUGUGCAAACUUUCAGGCAGCAUUAACACUGAGAUUUACCAGCAUGUAUAGGGCUGCUCUCUUUCUUGUAACCCUUUUUAGGGCGGAGCGGCCCUGCCGGUGCAUGGAAGCCUCUUCUGUCUCUGCUGCACCCGGGAGAUCCACAAGACUCCUUUCUCAAACACCAGCACGUGUUUCAGGCUUUCACACAGAGCUCUCCAAAGAAAAACAGGGCUAAGCACUCGCAAUGUUCCUUUAUCCAGCUCUGAGUGAUGAUGCUGAACUGUGUGUUGGUAUGAGGAACUCUGCCCCAAGUGCUGGUUCUCUUGUUGGUAGAACUUCUAAAAGAUGUUUGCUAGAUUUCAUGAAACCUGUGAAAGCAUCUUGCUGUGUCACUGUCGGAUGGGUGGUGCUGGAGUUUCCUGAUGACAUCUUACCUCUGCGGCCCCACUUGCAGAGCAACAGUCUGGAAUGGCAAAAAAAAAUCUCAAAUUUCAUCGCAUACUAUAAGUCAUGUGGUAUUCAUUCUGUACAUGCUGAUAAUGUAACUCUCGGUUCACUGCGCUGUUUGACAGGUUAUGUGAAACAGGUCCUAUUGUUGUGGUGUUUGGUUUGAAGUUUGAAAACCUGCCAAUGACUUGCGACGUUCUGCAUCCAAAAUGCAACCAACAGUGAUGUUUGCACUUUAAUGUUUGCGUUCUGCUUAGUGGUUGGUUUUGUUGGAUGUUGAUCAUUCUUGCUUCACGUUGCUUGCUCGCAUUCAUUAUGACAAUGACAGAGCUGCUCUCAUUUGCCCUUUCGUUUACACAAAACCAAAAACAAAACGACCUAAAUACUUAACAUUUGUCUUUUGCUGCAUUGCAACACUAGUUUUUCUGAUGUGUAUACCCUCAAACCCAAACACUUUGCAUGACAGAAAUAAAAUGCCCCAAAAUUCAGUAGGCACAACAGUCCUGUAAUGUUAAAAUGUUGCUGGUUUAAAUUGAAAUGUUGUAUUGACAAACGUGUUGCCAUCCACUGGUUGUUCAGUAUUUCAACAGCAUUGUGCAUAUGAACCGUCCUGCUGGUCAAGGCACAUCUCAGGAUCAAAAUGAUUCCCUAUGUAUCAGGAUGCUGUAUUCUCCAACCUAGUGUGAAUAUAGAGCUGAUUUUGUGGAAGUUUGUGUUAAUGGAGUUGACAGCUGUCCUCAUUAGGACCUCAUUCUUAGAAAGUAAAAGGAUUUCUACUCCAUUUAAGUUUUCACCCGUAAAUGCUUUGUUUUUUUUGUUUUUUUACACACGUUGUUGUUCCUAAUAAGUUUGAAUUGCUUUCUUCCUUAAAAAAAACAAAUAAAAAAUCCAUAUGACUUGAAUGAUGAG
rnacentral:lncRNA from 1 species